rnacentral:rRNA from 1 species
UAGACAACCAGGAUGUUGGCUUAGAAGCAGCCACACAUUCAAAGAGUGCGUAAUAGCUCACUGGUCGAGUGAUCCAGCGCCGAAAAUGUAACGGGGCUAAAACGCGACACCGAAGCAGCGGGAUGCGUAAGCAUCGGUAGAGGAGCAUUGUGUGAGGAUAGAAGCCAGAGCGGGAGCACUGGUGGACUUCACAGAAGAGAGAAUGCCGGUAUGAGUAGCGAGACCCAUGCGAGAAACAUGGGCGUCGAAGGCCCAAGGUUUCCUGGGGAAGGUUCAUCCACCCAGGGUAAGUCGGGACCUAAGCCGAGGACUGAGGUCGUAGGCGAUGGACAGCAGGUAGAGAUUCCUGCACCACUUACACUUGUUUGACGAAGCAGUGACACAGAAGGAUAGGACGAGCGCGGUGAUGGUCAACCGCGUAGGCGGCACGAGGUUGGGGAGCAGUAAAGUACACUUCCCGGGAAGGCUGAGUGCUGACAGGACCGAAAAAGAGUAGGGAAGCGUCUGAGUUCACGCUGGCGAGAAAAGCUGCUAAGGAGAGUGUGAGUGCCCGUACCGGAAACCGACGCAGGUGGGCGAGGAGAGAAUCCUGAGACGGACGGGAGAACUCUUGUUAAGGAACUCGGCAAAAUGACCCCGUAACUUCGGGAGAAGGGGUGCCUCGAAAGAGGCCGCAGAGAAUAGUCACAAGCGACUGUUUAGCAAAAACACAGGUAUCUGCGAAAGCGAGAGCUGACGUAUAGGUGCUGACGCCUGCCCGGUGCUGGAAGGUUAAGGGGAAGUGUUAGGGGAAACCCGAAGCAGAGAACCGAAGCCCCAGUAAACGGCGGCCGUAACAAUAACGGUCCUAAGGUAGCGAAAUUCCUUGUCGGGUAAGUUCCGACCCGCACGAAUGGCGUAACGACUUGUGAGCUGUCUCAACAGGAGGCCCGGUGAAAUUGAAGUAUGUGUGAAGAUGCACAUUACCCGCGACUGGACGGAAAGACCCCGUAGAGCUUUACUGUAACCUGACAUUGGAUCUUGAUAACGGAUGCACAGGAUAGGUGGGACGCUGGGAGGUAUGGACUUUGGUCUGUACGGAGCGGACGUUGGGAUACCACUCUUCUGUUAUUGAGAUUCUAACCUCAAGCCGUAAGCCGGAUGAGAGACAGUGUCAGGCGGACAGUUUGACUGGGGCGGUCGCCUCCGAAAGAGUAACGGAGGCGCCCAAAGGUACCCUCAGAAUGGAUGGAAACCAUUCGAAGAGAGCAAAGUCAGAAGGGUGCUUGACUGCGAGACCAACAAGUCGAGCAGGUACGAAAGUAGGGCUUAGUGAUCCGGCGGUAAGAGAGUGGAAUUGCCGUCGCUCAACGGAUAAAAGCUACCUCGGGGAUAACAGGCUGAUCUCCCCCAAGAGUUCACAUCGACGGGGAGGUUUGGCACCUCGAUGUCGGCUCGUCGCAUCCUGGGGCUGAAGCAGGUCCCAAGGGUUUGGCUGUUCGCCAAUUAAAGCGGCACGCGAGCUGGGUUCAGAACGUCGUGAGACAGUUCGGUCCCUAUCCAUCGUGGGCGUAGGAGUCAUGAGAGGAGCUGUUCCUAGUACGAGAGGACCGGAAUGGACGCAUCACUGGUGCAACUGUUGUCGUGCCAACGGCAUAGCAGGGAAGCGAAAUGCGGAUGGGAUAAACGCUGAAGGCAUCUAAGCGUGAAGCCCACCUCAAGAAUAAGUGUCCCAUUCGAAAGAAGUAAGACCCCUGGAAGACUACCAGGUGAUAGGUCAUCGGUGAAAGAGCGGUAACGUUUGGAGCUUGAUGAUACUAAUCGGUCGAGGA